AAGCGCUUGUGACCAGACUUGCGCCCGGCUGAUCAUCCGGUGUUCUCACCGGUGCACUCUGCCGGGCUCAGGCCAGCAUCGGUUCUCGCGGGGGGAUAAAGGUCCUGGGAACGUAGCUCCUCCGGGAGUGUUAUAGCCCAGGGCGUCAUGCCCUCGCGGGGACCGAGGUUCGCGCAUCUGCAAGGAUGCUGGCGUAAUGGUCAUCAGCGA
rnacentral:rRNA from 1 species